UGAGGUUACAAAAAGUUACAGAUACCAGAAAUGAACUUGUAUGACAGUUAUUUUUCAUCACGUUGUUGCAGGUGAUAUUUGGAUGGCCACACACACCAACAACAUCAGCAAAACUGGUGUGAAGAAAAGUAUCUAUGUCCUUACAUCUUGGUCUAUACCUGUUAACAACCAGCAUUGCAACAUCACAUAGGCGGGCCUCUGCUCUCACUGUAGGUCCAUGGUGCAACUUCUCCUGGACACUGCCCCAUCACUGCUCCUCCUGUCCCAGGCUUAGAAAGUCAGUGUCUUACCCAGUCUGUGUUGUGGAUCCUGUGGAACUGAGUGCUGGUUGUCCUGAAAAUCAGGGAUAAUGGGUGAGCUCCACUUGG
rnacentral:lncRNA from 1 species